rnacentral:rRNA from 1 species
GACGAACGCUGGCGGCGUGCCUAAUACAUGCAAGUCGAACGCAGUGGGGACGGGUGAGUAACACGUGGCUAACCUCCCAUCAGAGGGGAUAACACUUAGAUACAGGUGCUAAACCGAUACUGAUGGAUGCACCCGCGGUGCAUUAGCUAUUUGGUGAGGUAACGGCCAACCAAGGCCACGAUGCAUAGCCGACCUGAGGGGGGACUCUGAAACACGGGGAUUGAGAAAGGGCCCAGACUCCUACGGAGGGCAGCAGGAGGGAAUCUUCGGAAAUGGAAGAAAGUCUGAGCGGGCAUCGCCGGGUGAGUGAAGAAGGUUUUCGGUUCGUAAAACUCUGUUGUUAGAGAAGCGGUAUCUAACCAGAAAGACACGGCUAACUACGUGCCAGCAGCCGCGUAAUUC